UACGGGGGGGGCAAGCGUUGUUCGGAAUUACUGGGCGUAAAGGGCUCGUAGGCGGCCAACUAAGUCAGACGUGAAAUCCCUCGGCUUAACCGGGGAACUGCAUCUGAUACUGGAUGGCUUGAGUUUGGGAGAGGGAUGCGGAAUUCCAGGUGUAGCGGUGAAAUGCGUAGAUAUCAGGAGGAACACCGGUGGCGAAGGCAGCUCGCUGGGACGGUACUGACGCUGAGACGCGAAAGCGUGGGGGAGCGAACAGG
rnacentral:rRNA from 1 species